rnacentral:rRNA from 1 species
AACGCAGCGAAGGGCGAUAAGUAAUGUGAAUUGCAGAAUUCAGUGAAUCAUCGAAUCUUUGAACGCACAUUGCGCCCGCCAGCAUUCUGGCGGGGCAUGCCUGUUCGAGCGUCAUUUCAACCCUCGAGCUCCCUUUGGGGAGCCCGGCGUUGGGGACCGGCAGCUACCGCCGACCCCGAAAUACAAUGGCGGCCCGUCACGGCGACCUCUGCGUAGUAAUCCAACCUCGCACCGGGAACCCGACGCGGCCACGCCGUAAAACACCCCAAUUCUGAACGUUGACCUCGGAUCAGGUAGGAAUACCCGCUGAACUUAA